GGACUGCGUGGUACCUACAAUCCAUGUGUACGAACACCAUGAAAACAAAUGGCGGUGCAGAGACCCACACCAUGACCACUGUGAAGACUGGCCAGAGGCCCAGAGGAUCUCGGCGUCGCUCCUGGAUGGCCGGUCCUACGAGACGCUGGUGGACUUCGAUGACCACCUGGAUGACAUUCGGAAUGACUGGACAAACCCCGAGAUCAAUAAAGCUGUUCUGCACCUGUGUUAGGGAGGGAGUUCACUGACUUGUCUCUGGGCAUUUCCACUACACUGAAGAAGAAAAGCUAUUUUUUAAUGUAAAUGAAAUCUUUCAGCCUUUGUGGAAAGCUGGCAGUUUUCAGAAGUGGUGUGUGCCUUGCAAGAGGGCAGAAUGCCCAUCUGUCAUCUUUUUAAUGCAGUCUCUAGAAGAGGCACAGGCCGUCCCACCUGACUGUCCCUGUGGGGUCCUUCCCAGGUGUAUGUUGCUAUAAUUCUCCAAAUCAAAGCUAUUUCUGCUUGUCCAAGAUUGUUCCUAUUAAACAGUUUUAACUAAC